ACCGCACAAGCGGUGGAUGAUGUGGAUUAAUUCGAUGCAACGCGAAGAACCUUACUACCCUUGACAUGUCCGGAACUUGCCAGAGAUGGCUUGGUGCCGAAAGGGAAUCGGAACACAGGUGCUGCAUGGCUGUCGUCAGCUCGUGUCGUGAGAUGUUGGGUUAAGUCCCGCAACGAGCGCAACCCUUAUCAUUAGUUGCUACGCAAGGGCACUCUAAUGAGACUGCCGGUGACAAACCGGAGGAAGGUGGGGAUGACGUCAAGUCCUCAUGGCCCUUAUGGGUAGGGCUUCACACGUCAUACAAUGGUCGGUACAGAGGGUUGCCAAGCCGCGAGGCGGAGCCAAUCCCACAAAGCCGAUCGUAGUCCGGAUUGUUCUCUGCAACUCGAGAGCAUGAAGUCGGAAUCGCUAGUAAUCGCAGGUCAGCAUACUGCGGUGAAUACGUUCCCGGGUCUU
rnacentral:rRNA from 1 species